GGGAUGAACGCUGGCGGCGUGCUUAACACAUGCAAGUCGAACGAUGAAGGCUGGAGCUUGCUCUGGCUGGAUUAGUGGCGAACGGGUGAGUAACACGUGAGUAACCUGCCCCAGACUCUGGGAUAAGCGCUGGAAACGGCGUCUAAUACCGGAUACGAGCUUCCACCGCAUGGUGAGGAGCUGGAAAGAAUUUCGGUCUGGGAUGGACUCGCGGCCUAUCAGCUUGUUGGUGAGGUAAUGGCUCACCAAGGCGACGACGGGUAGCCGGCCUGAGAGGGUGACCGGCCACACUGGGACUGAGACACGGCCCAGACUCCUACGGGAGGCAGCAGUGGGGAAUAUUGCACAAU
rnacentral:rRNA from 1 species